GGCAUCGCUGGGUAGCUAUGUGUGGACGGGAUAAGUGCUGAAAGCAUCUAAGCAUGAAGCCCCCCUCAAGAUGAGAUUUCCCAUUACGCAAGUAAGUAAGACCCCUGAAAGACGAUCAGGUAGAUAGGUUCGAGAUGGAAGUGCAGCGAUGUACGGAGUUGACGAAUACUAAUAGGUCGAGGACUUAACCAAAUA
rnacentral:rRNA from 1 species